UACGGUUGCAAAGCUGAAACUUAAAGGAAUUGACGGAAGGGCACCACCAGGAGUGGAGCCUGUGGCUUAAUUUGACUCAACACGGGAAACCUCACCCGGUCCGGACACUGGAAGGAUUGACAGACUAAAGCUCUUUCUUGAUUCAGUGGGUGGUGGUGCAUGGCCGUUCUUAGUUGGUGGAGUGAUUUGUCUGGUUAAUUCCGAUAACGAACGAGACUCUCGCCUGCUAAAUAGUUUUCCAUACGUUACUUUAUGGAACCUAAAACUUCUUAGAGGUACAAGUGGCGUUUAGCCACACGAAACAGAGCAAUAACAGGUCUGUGAUGCCCUUAGAUGUCCGGGGCCGCACAUGUGCUACAAUGAAUGCAUCAACGUGUAUCAGCCUCGCCCGAAAGGGUUGGGGAAUCCGCUGAACGGCAUUCUCAGUAGGGAUUGGGGAUUGCAAUUAUUUCCCAUGAACACGGAAUUCCCAGUAGGCGCCAGUCAUCAGCUGGCGUCGAUUGAGUCCCUGCCCUUUGUACACACCGCCCGUCGCUACUACCGAUCGCUCUUGUUAAUGAGCUUGUCGGAUUGGACCCGGUGAGCAGUCGUUGCGCUUCAUCUCCUCGCGGGGUGGGCCUUCGUCUGCGAGCUUUUGGUGUAUGCCGAGAAGAUCGGCAAAUUAUCUGGAGUAGAGGAAGUAAAAGUCGUAACAAGGUAUCCGUAGGUGAACCUGCGGAUGNNNNNNNNNNAAUAAAAGGCUCCGGGAAGGGAAACCCGGGUUAAGAAAAACUCCCGUACAUAGAUACGUACUACUCUGUGCGGUGGAUCACUCGGCUCGUGUGUCGAUGAAGAGCGCAGCUAGCUGCGAGAAGUAAUGUGAAUUGCAGAACCACAUUGAAACAUCGACAUCUUGAACGCACAUGGCGGCCUCCGGGUUACUCCGGAGGCCACGUCUGUCUGAGAGUCGGAAUUGUAGUGCUUUAAAAAUCGGCGGUCACCACCAAAAUAUAUGUCGUAUACAAUAGACACGAUAGGUGGAUGUCCGCGAGGGUUGCUUCUCGGUAGAAAGAUACAUACAAAAAGUAAAAGAGAAGCCGCCGAGUGGCGAGUUGUUGAAAGUAGC
rnacentral:rRNA from 1 species